rnacentral:rRNA from 1 species
GUCUACGGCCAUACCAACCUGAAUGCACCCAAUUUCAUCUGAUCUUUGAAACUAAGCAGGGUCGGGCCUGUGUAGGAAUUGGAUGAGAGAAAUGGCUGUUCAAGAGGUUUUCUGAUGGCU